rnacentral:tRNA from 1 species
GGGCCCAUAGCUCAACGGUUAGAGCAGGGGACUCAUAAUCCCUUGGCUACAGGUUCGAAUCCUGUUGGGCCCACCA